rnacentral:rRNA from 1 species
AUUGAACGCUGGCGGCAGGCCUAACACAUGCAAGUCGAGCGGCAGCGGGUCCUUCGGGAUGCCGGCGAGCGGCGGACGGGUGAGUAAUGCCUAGGAAUCUGCCUGGUAGUGGGGGAUAACGUUCGGAAACGGACGCUAAUACCGCAUACGUCCUACGGGAGAAAGUGGGAGAUCUUCGGACCUCACGCUAUCAGAUGAGCCUAGGUCGGAUUAGCUAGUUGGUGGGGUAAAGGCUCACCAAGGCGACGAUCCGUAACUGGGCUGAGAGGAUGAUCAGUCACACUGGAACUGAGACACGGUCCAGACUCGUACGGGAGGCAGCAGUGGGGAAUAUUGGACAAUGGGCGAAAGCCUGAUCCAGCCAUGCCGCGUGUGUGAAGAAGGUCUUCGGAUUGUAAAGCACUUUAAGUUGGGAGGAAGGGCAGCUAGUUAAUACCUGGUUGUUUUGACGUUACCAACAGAAUAAGCACCGGCUAACUUCGUGCCAGCCGCCGCAGUAAUAC